AACGCACCUUGCGCUCCUUGGCAUUCCGAGGAGCAUGCCUGUUUGAGUGUCAUUAAAUCUUCAACUCCAUCCUUCUUGUUGGAGGGUGGUAGGUUGGAUCUGGGAGCUGCUGGCUGUAUGGUCAGCUCUUCUGAAAUAGAUUAGCAGGUGAAACCCUCCAUGUGUGUGGGCUGCAGCUUGGUAUUGAUAGUUGUCGUACCAGUUGACAGGCUAGCUACAUGUGUGCUUCCUGCUCAAAGCCGUCUCAGCCAGAGACAAAUUUGACGAUUUGACCUCAAAUCAGGUAGGACUACCCGCUGAACUUAA
rnacentral:misc_RNA from 1 species